GUUUCUACUUCUGUUUAGAAGGCAACCCAGAUGAGGGAUAGUGUUUCAGAGACAUGAAGAUAUGAAGUGACCUGCCAUGUGUGUACCAGAUCUGCUUGAUGAAAGACAAAUGCCUUACUAAAUUCAUCACCCGUAUGAAAAAGCAUCAGGAAAUUUAUCUCAUCAUGUGAAGUUAUGCUGUUGGUUCCUGUGAAUCCCAUUUUUACGGUUUCUUCUCUCUUCCUGUUCUUAUCAUGAACAUUUCAGUGUGUUUCUUA